CCCAGCUUAGCUGAAGCACUGUUCUCCAGGGACUGACUGUCAGUACUGAGUGAGAAGAGGAUAACAUGGGACAGAGACACUGGGUCAGGACCACCAAAUGCCAGCUGAUAGUGACCAGCCUCUUUGUCAUGCUGCUGGGGCUGGCAGUCACCAUACUGACCAUUAUCACCCACUAUGGGGCUCACUUCAGUGUAAUCAGUGGGGUCUCCUCUGAGGCUAACCCCUAUAGAAUCUUCCACAAUGUCGCAUUCUACAGCGGGAUAUGUCUGACCAUGAUUCUGGUCCUUGCAGCCCUGCUGAGUACUGUUGCCACAGUGAGAGAAUCGGUGUGCCUCAUGGCAAUGGAUUCAACUGAGGCGGGGGACCUUGACUUAGGCUGUGUCUACACUACCAUGGGAUUCUUCUGUUUUGCCAUUGUUUUCUGUGCACUGAUACAGGCUGCGUUCUGGAGAUACACCAACAACAGUGAGGUAGAAGAUGCCAUGAUGGAUGUGUAUGAUUCUGUGUACGAGGAAGUGAGGAGGAACUUGUCCAGCUUCAGGAGGCAGGAACUAGCUACCAUCCAUGAAACAUUUCUGUGCUGUGGAAAGCAGUCACCCUUUGGAGAAACAGGAGGCAUUGAAAAGGAGACAUGUCCAUCAGAACCUAUGGGCACAGCCAGAGCGGAUUGCCUCCAAGAGAUCCAAGACUUCCUAAAAAAACAUAUGGACUUCGUCUCUGUGCUGCUGAUCAUCACAAUCUGCUUCAUGGUAGCUACCUUCCGUCCUUUGGUACCCUAAUUUUCUGAACAAGCUGAGGCAGGGACAGUUCAGUGGCUUGAGAGGGCAGGUCACAUUGAAAACCUUGCGUGCAGGAGACAGGUUUCUUGAUAUGGCGGUGAUAAGCCAGCAGCCUGGAGUUUAGUAACAAAGGAAAUAACCUUGAUGAUGUGAUUCACCACAGAGACUAGGGGAGGAGCUAUCCAAUCAGGCUGCCAGUCAGACUGAGGAAUCACAGCCAGUUCUCUGCUGGAACAAGCUCGCUAAAUUCCUGGCAGCCAUAGGUUCUGUGCUGAGCUUGGGGAAUAGGUCUGGAAAUUGGCUUCCUCAGAAUUUGAAUCCCAUUGUCUAGGGUGUCGAGUCUAAGCAUUUUGUCCUGUGGCUGAGGAUGUGCCAUGGUCUAACCACCACAUGAUCUAACAUUACUUUGUGGUGUUUAGAGCUGGUCAAAAUAUUGUCAUCAAACAUUUUUGGACCAAAAAUAUCUUUUCAACCAAAGGAAACAUUGCCACAGAAAAUGUUCAUGUUGGUCAAAAAUUUUCAGUGUUUUAAAGGAAAAACCAAAAUUAUUUUGGUAAAAGUUUGAUCUCUUUGAAAACUUAUAUGAAAACCCAGAUACUUUUACCAAAAAUGUCUUUUUUUUAAUGGCAAAUUUUUUGUUGUUUAAAAAAAGUAUAAAUUGAAAACUCAUCAUGGGAAAUAUCUUUAAAAAAAUUAAAAUCUCCCAAAAUCAAGUUUCCUACAAAAAAUAAUCAUUGGCAGUUGUAGCCAGCUGUGAUGUUACUGUUAGAUAUGCAAGACAGCAGCUUCCUGCAGGAAGAAGUUGUGGAAGCUCGGCCUGUUAUACACAGGACGUCAGCUGCCUCCCAGCUGAGGCACCGAGGCCAGGUAUCAGGUGAUAACUUGAAGAUCAUCUGGUAUUAGGUGAGCCAGCAAGUAGCUCAGUUGAGCUGGAGAGCUGCAGGGAGUAGAAAGGCUGCUGCUGAGGACAGAACCCAGUUCAUGAGACACUCUGGCAGAUGGCCUGUGUAAUCUUGUGGGGAACAGGCUAGGAAGAAGGAACCAGAGACUUGUCUUGACUCCCAGGCAUUCUGUGAAGUGUAAUCCUGUACGGAGUAGACUGGCCUCUGCAGAAGACCACAGGUCAGGAGAAAAGACGUGAUUCGUGUGCUGAACAGUUAUUUAUUUUUGAAUAACACUGAAGUCCUGUAGAAGAAGGGGCAGAGGAAUCCUGUGGCUGGAGAGUGUUAUUGGUGCAUGAGCAGCUGAGAUGGGAACCCACUGCCUUACAGAUAUGCAGGCAUGGUGCAUCUGGCCAAUGGUUGGAAAAUGCUGCUAAUAGAACAAGCCUGUUCUUGUGUCUAGUCACCGCUUGGCAGACACAACAUACAUUAAUUACUUUUACACGGAGGUCCUGCACUUGUAAUAAGACAUGCCAGAGGAGAAUACUGACCUUCAGACCUGUUCCAUGUACAGAAUAUUAAGUUCCACGUGCUCUAAUAGCUCUCGAGUUGAACUUCAGUUACUGAAGCAAGAUUUUUCUGACCAGCUCUGUGCGUAUAGUUGGUUUCAGACUUGUCCCGAUCGCCCUUAAAUCUACCGAGGCUCACUGUGCAAUGCGGAGUUGUUAUAGCUAACUUGCUAGACAUGAGUGGAUGACUCUGACCUAAAUCCAUGGUUGUAAUACACUCCAGGGCUCGCCUGGACUGUGAACGCUGUAUGAAAGCAGCAAGAGUUCACAAAGUGAAUCACACCUGCCUGCCAACUCCUGCAUUGAAUAUCAGUUUGUCUUUCAAUACCGAUGGAAUAAAUAUUUGCCCUUUUUAAAGUUCACUGACUUGCCCAAGGUGUUAGUCUUAGCUAUUCUCCUCUGAAUUGCUGUGUCAGAGGAUGGAAGAUCAGCAGUGGGUAGAACUCUCAUACUAUUGCGGGAAGAUGGCACAUGAAAUCGUGGCACAGGAGCAGAUGAUGCCUGACCUGCUGAAUUCUGAUAGGCUGAGAAAACCCUUCUACUUCAGCCAAUUAGAAUACAAACAUAACCCUAAAAUUGCAAAUCAUAAAGGUUUAUGGGAUGAUUUUAACUUCAUUCCUUUGGUUCUCCAUCUGCUUCAGCAACAAUCUGGACCGGAAAGGCAAAUAUAUUUUCAGAGAGACCUAGAAAACAGUCGCCCAGCUUCCCCACAAGAGCAAGGAUUUCCAACCCUUGAAUUGGGAAACCAUCCAAAAGUUAUCCACAGAGUUCCCUGAGAAGCUGUGGCUAGGUGACUGGAGUUGGGCCUUAGACCUUCAUGUUUCCCUUUACUGCAUUACCUGCUUCUUCUGCAUUGCCAGCUGACUAGUGGGAAUGAUCAUCGGGCAGCACAGGAGAGGAAGAUGUGACAUUUUCUGUAAAGACCGACAGAGAGUGUGACAGGCAGCUAGCUGGGGAAUCAGAGCCAUGUAGAGACACAGAUAGGCAUGUUUAGCAUUCUUGUGAGAUGUGGAUGGUAGCAAGGAACCAGCCAGCCCCUCACCCAGAAAACCACCCAUCCCAGCUAGCCAAAAACCAAACCCUGAUCCAGUCACUUCUGCCACUGCCUGAAAACUGACAGUUUGAAACUCCGUCAGAGUGCCAAAACAUAUCCCAGCAACAAAGAAACUAAAAUACCAUCAAGAAGGAAAAGAAGUCCAGUUAAUACCCCUCAGCCAGGAGAACGUCCUCUCAGCCAUAGCCAAAACAAAUGCACCAUGCCAAUCAAUCCCUCCACAAAUCUUGGCAAAACAGCCACUUACAUUUAAUCCCCCACACACGCACACACACACAAUCCCCACACCACCACCAAAUAACCAAUUGCCCCUGGGAGAAAGAAAUGCAUUAGAGGACACACAGGAUAAGUAACUUAAUUCAACUAAUUAUCCACCAAGUUUCCCACAGUCCAUUCUGUUCCUGAACUACAAACUGGAGAACUAAUGUAAAUUUAUAAAUGUGUUUGCCAAAACAAAAUUUAAAAAACAAAUAAGAAAUUACGGAAAGUAAAAUAAAGACGGUAGCAUUUAAAGGAACUUCAACAUGGGAUGUUACAAUGUAUCACAAGAUAACCAAUCAAAUAAAUAAAUUCAUGCGGAGUACUCUGAAAAACUGGGCACUAGUUUUCUCAAAGAGGGCACCCAAAAUUAGUUUACAUUUCUGACAAUUUGGCUUUAAUCUCUGAGACUCAGUUAACUCAAGGUCCUAUCAGUCUUGUUACAUGGACAAACUUUAUCCUAAAUUUACACUAUUCUCACCAUGUGACUACCACUGUGGAACUAUGGAUGCUUAAGUAAAGAUCCUUAUCAAUCUACCAAUAUGCUUAUGUGUCAAUGGGAUUAUGGGACUGCCCAUGGCAGUUCAACCAAAUCUCUCUAGAGUUAGAAUAUAGAAAUUUGAACAAGUUACGUAUCAAAGUCAAUUUGAUUAAAAAUUGCUUUGCCUUGGUGAUAUUCAUAGCUAAACUCUUUCCAUUAUGCACAUAUUCAAUAUUAUAAUGCACCAAAUCCCACAUAUAUGUUUCAUGGAAUAAUUUUAAAGCUAUUUGUAAUUUCUCUGGAAGCUCACAAAUACUGUAAACCCUUUAACCAAAUAUUCAGCGGUGGCAAAAGUCUUGAGCUUAACUAGACAAUUCAAAAUUCUUUUUCUCUUCUCUAAGAAGUUGUCAGUUUCUUGUGACUGCAAAAGAUGGUCUAGGGCUUCUCCACAUGACGACUUAGUGCACGGUAAACUGGGGUAUAAAUCUACAAUGGCACUAGCCUGCUGCUCACCAACUGGGUGUGUGGACACAGCUGCCAUGCACUCUUUUUGCUGCGUGUGUCAAACAGCAGUAGUUCAAAGCACACUGCAGAACUUUUAAUGGACGGUAGCAGGGUCCAUACAGCCGGUUACUACACAGCAGGCUUGUACCCUGUGGAUUUACACCCCAGCUUGCCAUGCAUGAAGACCUGGUUCUAAAAGUUACAUCAGUAUAGCUAUGUCAGUGAAAAAAACCACACUCCUGAUGGACAUAGCUAUGCCGACAUACCCCCACCCCCACCCCCGUGGACGCCACUAGUUGAUGGAAGAGGUCUUCCAUCAACAUCACUAGCAUUGGUUGGGGAGGAGGUGUUCCUACACCAGCAGAAAAACCCCUUCUGUCGCUGUAGGCUGGAUUACAUGACGAGGCUGUGGUGCUAUAGUCUGCGUAGUGUAGACAUACCAUCGGUCUCUGUGUGGACAAGCACCUAGGCUGAUUGCUUUAACAUGCUCUUAAUCUUUCUGAGAGGCAUCUUUGCUGUACCCAGGCAUGAUUUCCUGUUACAAAUAAUACUUUGCUCAGUGCAAUGAGUUCUUCUAGCCUCGACAUUCUCAGUUACUUGUUGACUUAGGGCCAGAUUUUUAAAGAUAGUUAGGAGCCUAAAGAUGCAGAUAAGCACCUAGCGGGAUUUUCAAAAGCACCUAGGUGCUGAAUGCCCAUUUAUUUCCCAUCUUUUGUUUCCCAAGACAUCAGGUGUUAGCAGAGAGGGGGUGCUCUCAGUAGCCACCUGAUGACAGUCCCGCUCUCAUGCAAUCUCAUCCAGAUGUUUCGGUUUCUGUGAGCAAAUUGCUGAACAGAGCUGUUUUGUACAGUUUCUGAUGAGCCAUGGGGCCUGGCUCCUCUUCCAGGUAAAGUUGAUGUGGGCUAAUUAGAAAGCAAACCUCAUUUCUGAUAGGUUUCAGAGUAGCAGCCGUGUUAGUCUGUAUUCGCAAAAAGAAAAGGAGGACUUUUGGCACCUUAGAGACUAACCAAUUUAUUUGAGCAUAAGCUUUCGUGAGCUACAGCUGAAUCAGAUGAAGUGAGCUGUAGCUCACGAAAGCUUAUGCUCAGAUAAAUUGGUUAGUCUCUAAGGUGCCACAAGUACUCCUUUUCUUUUUGCUCAUUUCUGAUGACAUUCUGAAACAUCCAACCAGACAAGUAGCUUGGGACAUACCAGUUUGCACUAUACAUUUUAGGACAUAUAUCAGCUUGCAACAUCCUUUGCCACCAAUUGUGCCUUUAGUGUGAUACUCUUUUAAGACAAUUGUUAGUCCAGGCUCCAGUCAGCAAUCUGCUUCCACAAACUGCUUUUGUAGGUUCCCCUUGCGGUGUAUCUUGAACAACUUUGCACAGCACCACCUUCUUUCCCAGGCCACAGUUUCUCCAUCAGCAUAUUUAGAAGUCUGCACAGAUACCCACUUUCAAACUCCUGUAUUUAUAGAGAGUCUCAUGACAUUCCUUGGUAAUUGUGUAGUUGUUUAGUUGGUCAUUAUGCAGCAAUGUAAACUUACUUGACCCAUUUUCUUGGUUCAACACCAAUAAUUUUGAUGGUAAUGAAACAAUAAGACAAAACAGCUGUACAUGUCUCUGUACCAAUUUGUGUUUAUAUCCCACACAUCAGUGAUAAGGUCGGUAAGGUCACUUUAUCUGUUAAAUCAUUUCAGUUUAUCUACUUGCUAAACUGUUUAUCACACUUCUUGGUCAUUUAGUCCUUAUAACUAUUUGGACAGGGUCACCAUAAAGAUUUUCACUUCACCUUGGCUGUUCAAUAUGCUAAUUGACUGUAUCAUCUUUUUUUAGCAUAAAAUAACAAGGUGUUUGUAUGUUUGUAAAUUAUUAGUUAGAUAUUUCUUAUUAAUUACAUUCCUAAUUUAAAAAGGAAGCAUUGUCCUAACUAUUUGAAAUAUCUUGUGAUUACAGCUCCUUUUGGCAAGGAACUUGCUGAAACUGCAAGGGUCAAUUUCAGAAUGCUUUAGAUUACUUUAAAGCUACAGAUGGGGGCAUAUCCUCAGCUGAGGAUUUGCCCCAUUGUUUGUUUCAGUCAACCUCUGAUCUAUAUGACAGACAAUUAUAAUACUAUGCUACCAAAUUAAACAUAAACUGAUGUACUGUGUGUGUGUCACUGUCAAAGCUAAUGCUGUGGUUAUCCCAAAGGCCAGCUGGAAAGUCAUAUGACUCUUGACUACUUCAAUAAAAAUGUAUGUCAUGGCAAAA